UUUUUAAAUGAAAACACAUUCAUGUAUGAGAUCUGAAUAUACAUAUGGUUGUUGUUCUGUUGGUUUAUCCAAAUAUUCUCUCUUUUUUGUGACUAAAAUGUUAGGUCUGUCCCACUAAAUAUUAUUGAAUUAAAUUUGUGAUUCAAUUCAAUCAAAACAUUAUAAACAUAAAAAAAAUUACAUUUAUCACUUCAUCUCCUAACUUAAGCUGCUGCCUGGAUGUGGUGCACUCUUAAACUAUUCUCUUCUGCCUGUAAAAGUUUAAUACUAACACAUUAAUUAUAAAAAAAAAAAAAAAAAAAACAAAUUUUUCUCAAAACCCAAAACUUGUCUUCUAAAAAGGAAAAAAAUAAAAAAUUCUUAAGUAGUAAUUGAAUAAAAAUAAUGAGAUGAAAUAAAUUACAUAUAAAAUCAGAAAGAUUAUAUAUAUAUAUAUAUAUAUACACACACACGAGCACACAAAUUCAAAAUGAGUCAUAUAUAAUCAUCGUUAUGUUCUAAAAAUGUAAUGAAAUUAUAUUAAAUAUGGAAUGAAUGAGAAUUGGGUAGGAGUACUUGCCAGUAAGGAAGGAAGCCAAGCAAUAGUAUUCUCUACUUCCUCCAUGCACUCUUCCUUCUGUUCUAUCAUGCUUGUCAUCUCCGUAACUAGGUAAAGAAUUUUUUCUACCUGAUCAAAUAUAGCCAUCGCAGAAAAUUACUUCACAUCAAUAUAUAUAUAUAAAUGUUCACACAAACUAACGUAUAUAUAAGGUUUUUUUUCUUUUAAAUAUCUUCAAGAGUAAAACCAAAAUGAUAAUUGAGAAGCAUGCAAUUACUUUUGAGAAGAAUUUAGGAGUGAUGAUGGCUUGUAUGCCGUCCAUGAUUCCCACUGCCAUGCUCAUGGCUUCGUUAAUUGAAUUCACAUCUCCCUAGUAAAUUAAACAUUCAUUCAAAUGGGAUUAGCUCAACGAUAAUAAUUCCUCUAAUUACAAAAUUAAUUAUAAUUAAGUUAUAUAAACUAAUUAAUUUACCUUGGCACCAUUAAGUAGUGGCAAUCUAACCGUGGAAACCAAUAGUUUGCGGCUCAUUCUGCUCAACGCUUCACAAUUUUUCGCAUCAAUUUUCGACCAUUGAUUUAGCAGAGGCAGUUCCAACCUCAGAAUUUCAUAUAUCUUGAUUUCUUGCUUCAGUUUUUCUAGUUGAAUUCGUUUUUCUAAAAUCAACUGUCUCAAUUUCCAAAUUCUUACCCAUACCGCAAAUAAUUUACCCUGGAAGAUUAAUUAUAAGUUUCCGUAUACAAAAAUAAAUCUCUCCAUAUAUUGCAGGAAAUGUAAAAAUAUUACCUGUGCAGUGAUGUUAAUGGUGGACAUCGUAGCUUCAUUUCUAGCAUUGAUAAACCUCCAUUGCAACAAUCUGUUAUGCAAAACCCUAAAACGAUGAUAAUCCUCUUCUUCCACAGCUGAAACUUUCUUUUGCUUAAAAUACUUGAGAACCCCACUUUUCCCACCAGCAGUUUUCGCCGUUUCCCUAUCAGACACCGGCGGCGACUCAAACAAACUCGGUGAAGAUCUUCCCGGCGAUAACGCCCAUGCAGAAGGAGACUUUGUGGGUGAAUAUUUUACCCCUUUUCUUCCGCUAGAAUUUACACGGGAAUUACUGCCACGCCCUGCACUUUUCAAGAAUCUAAUAAAGCCAUUACUGUUUUUACAAUUACUACUGCUCUGAUCUUGAUGGUCUAGGUCAGGCCGUCCGAUCUUUUGGAUUCUCGAAAUGAUGGAGGUUGUUGUGGAAGGGUCGAUAUUCUCUUCGUCUCUUUUGGUAUUUGUUGAUGAUCUUGUGGUUGACUUUGACCUGUUGAUGAACCUUUUGCUAGUAUUGAAGCUGGAGUUGUUUUGAUCUGGUGUAGAAAUGGAGGGAGCUCCGCUUCGACAGCGGAUUAGUCGUGGCGAUGCAGCUGGCGGAUGAUGCUGCCGUGUGUGAGUGGUCUCCAUCUAGGCCGAUCGAUCUGUUUGGUUGGUCAGAUUUUUGGGAUUUGACGACACAGACACACGCACAAUAUAUACAUAUAUGUAUACGAUGCAGACGUAUGAAAAUUAUCUGAAUUUGCUCGAGGUUUGUCAUAGUUUUGGUCAAGGUGGUGAUAAGUUGGGAGCACGUUGAAGAAGAAGAAUUGUGCAUAUCAGUACUGGGGGAGUGGAAGUCAUCCAUGAAUGUUUAUGGGCAUACUUUGAAUCUAGUAAUUUUUAUAAUUAUAAUAAUAUAUGUAUAUAUAGUAAUUUAAAUGUAAGACUACUGCGUAUUAAGGGAUAUAUUAUAAUUUGGUCAACUACAAACUGUACUAAUAAAUCUAUAAAUCAUAAAUAUUAUGUAAAGUGGUAGGCUGAAUUAAUUGAAAGAACGUUUAUCAAUCAAACUACAAUAACACAAUUUUUAGUAAUAUCAUUUCAACUAGAAUCAUCAAUAACUACUAAAAAAAUCAUUUAUCUUUAUAUAUAUAUAUAUAUAUAUAUCGUACCCAUGUCGAGACUUGUAAAAUUUUAUAGAACUAUAUAUAUAUAUAUAUAUAUAUAUAUAUAUAUACACACACACACACACACAUUUGGUGAGGAAGCGAAGAGGGAAGAAUGUCAAUUGGGUUGGGUAUAAAACAAUCUUAAUAUUAUUAUUUUGGGCUUGUUGAGUAGCAAGCAAUAUAAGUAUUUAUGUUAUUCUUGGACCAUGUAAAGUCUACUUACAAAAGAUUAAUACUUGGCUUGUAGAUUGAUCUAAUUACUAAUUACCUAUUUUAAUACCUAAAUGACUCUAAUUAAAACUUAAUCUUUGAACUGAUUAUUAAAUUAAUUUAAUAGAAAUUAUGAACAUUUUCACACACCAGAACUUUUCCUCUCUUCUAUUUCUUACCAAGUUAAUUAAAUUUUAUUUAUAAUAUUUAAUUAUGACUUAUAAGAAAAAUUAAACUUAAUUACAUCAUAACUAUAAUAGAAAGACAAAAAUUAAGAAGCUUAUAAUAAUCACGUUAUAAAUGCCUGGAUAUAACAAACUGCAUGCACGUGUUAGAUAUUUCUUUGAAUUAAUAUACAAAAAUAUAUAUUAGCAUUUCCUUAUAAAUUUUGAUAACAUACAAUAAUGUGAAAAUAAUGUAACCUAUGAUUACCAUAUAUUAAAAUUUUAAUAAUUAUUUAGUAAAAUAUUAAUUUUAUCUUUUUUAAAUCUUACGAACUACUUGAAUCUUUUUAUUAGACCAGAUUAAAUUUUCACAAGUUAUAAUUUUAAAAAUUAAUUGACUAUUAUUUAUUUUUAUUAGUAAUUUAUUAAAAAUUUAAAUUAAAUAAAAUUAUAUUAUAUUAUAUUUAAUAAAAAUAUAAUAAUAUCAUAAUCUUAUAUAUUAUGUCACAUGUUAAUAUAUUUAUUAGUUUAAUUUAUCAAACCUCACGUGGCAGAUAAUUUUUUUCUUUUUUACGUUAAUCCAACGCAUCAAUUUGUUGUGACAAUGCUCUCUCUCUGUUUUUCAUUAUUUUGGCACAUAUAUGAAUAUAUAUAUCCACACACGUAUAAAUAUGCAUAUAGUAUUAUGAUAUAACGAGCACGAGAGAUUACAAAGGUUUGCUCGUCCCAAUUAAAUUGAAUCUUCUUAACCAUUAAUUCUAAAUUAACUUGAGUUAAUCACCUUAAUUUUCAAAAGAAAUAAAUGAAUGGGUUAAAUUCAUAAUUAGCAGCUGUUGAUUCAACCCAAUUAUAUGCUUCUGAUCUCAACAAUUAAACAUGUGACGGAAUUGGAUAUAUAGAGCUGUUAGACGCUCUAUACUUAGAAACACCAUGUGAUAGAUAUUUUUUUAUUUGGAAAGAAACCAUGUGAUAGAUAUUUUUUCCCUUUCAUUUUCAUCCAUCAACUUAUGCCAUAUAUAUAUAUAUAUAUAUAUAUAUAUAUAUAUAUACACACACACACACACGCAUAUACAAAAAUUUAACGUUGAUAAUAAUAAUUAUUUUUUCAAUUACAUAAAAGUUAUUUGGGUAGGUUUUUUAUAAUGCAGACAGAAACAUAGACUAGACUGGUACGUAAUGAAAUUUUAUGUUUGGUCAUAACAUGUGAUGUUUUAAAAUUUGGCAUGUGAUAGAUAUUUUUCGAUUCUGUAUUUUAUUGUUAAUUUGGUACAAUACAUAUAUACAUGUAUAUACACAUAUAUAGAAGACAAUUAGGAUUACUAAAGAGGAAUUAUAAAGUUAUUUUAAUUAAUCAUGUCUGAUCUGUUCUUGUCUCUGCAUUACUAAAAGUGAUUAAUCAUGUCUUUUACUGAUAAUAAUUACUAUUUAAAAUAUUGUUCUUGUCUUAAUUAAUUAGUUAAUUAACGAGUUAUCUUAAACCAUGUCCUAAUUACAUGUUUACUAAUAGAGAUCAAAACCUGACUCAUCUUUAAUAGAGAUUAUGUAAUUAGGAAGAUAAGAUCGUACACAUAUAGUUUUUGUCAUUUUUUUAACCGAUUAAUUCUGAAACUUUUUUUAUUUUAGGUUAAUUAAUAAUUUUUAUAUUUAUACAUAUUAUUUAAUUUUAUCUAUGUAUAGUUAUUUCGAAAACCAAGAUAAAACUAAUCAAAGCCAAGAACUUAAGAUACAUUAUGUUUGAUGCAUAUAUAUAUAUAUAUACACACACACACACAUACAUGCACGUAUCUGUGUACACAUGCACAUCUUUUUCACUUCGCAAACCAUGUGGAAGAUAUUUUCAUCCCCGUCAACGACGCAUAAGCAGGAUAUUAAGAUCAUGGUAUAGGAUGUAAAAUCUUGAAUCUUUUGCUGGUUGAUGCAUACGUAUACACAACACACACACACACACAUAUAUAUAUAUAUAUCAUGUGUGACGAACAACUGUUUUUUACGUUAUCCGUUUACUGAUCUCAUUGCCCUUGCCUAACAUGAUUUCAUCAAUUUACUAAUGGAAAUUCCAUGUGUAUAGCGGCAGCCAAAAGAAACUAAAGAAACUGUUACUAGUUCAACCAUUUUUUAUCCAGUGAAAACAAAUAUAUAUAUAUAUAUAUAUAAACGAAUCACUGGGUCAUAUAUAUAGAGGGCGCCAAAGCGGAGAGGACCUAACUGUUUGAUCGACCAAACUCUUGGUCGGCCGAGAGCACAUAUAUAUAUACACACACACAAGAAUGUUUAUAAGUAUUCAUGUGUGUAAGGCUCGUUCUUCUUCUUCUUCUUUUUUUAUUUUUCGAGUUUAGAUCAUAAUAAUAAUUAUUAUCAUUAAUGGAGAAGGGUAAGCAGACUAUGAUGAGUGGAUAUGGUGGGAGUAGCUCUAAUGGUGACUCCAUUAUUGAUCGUAGUGAAGUCAAAAUUAUUUUGUGGGAGAGUAAUGCUGAAAGUCAAGCAGAAAUUUCUACUCUUUUGACCAAAUAUUCUUAUCAGGGUAAGCAUUAUAUCAUAAGAUAAUUAUACCCAUAUAUAUAAGAUUAAAAAAUGUAACAUAUUAAUGUUAGUUAAUUAAUAAUUUACUGCAGUAACUCCAGUGAGCUCGGCUAUACAGAUAAUAGAUGCUUUGAACACAGAAGGGGCUUACAUCGACAUCGUUUUGAUAGAAGUUGGACUGAUAUUAAUGGAGAGAGGAAUGAAAAUUUUGAAUUAUAUUAUGCAUGAUAAAAAUCUCCAACACAUUGCUGUUAUCAGUAAGCAUUUAUAUAUAAAUAUAUAUAUAUGUUUAUAUAUUUAUAGAUACAUACAUGCAAACCCAUUACAUUGAUAUUAAUUAUAUGUUAAUUAAUAUUGAUUUAGUGACUGUGUAUGUAUGAUAUUGGGGUGUUAGUGCUAUUAACACAGGACAGGCUGCAUCUUCUUCACAAUGGGUUUAAAUUAGGUGCUGCAGAUUAUCUUCUUAAGCCUUUGGAUUCUGAUGAGCUACUCAACUUAUGGAUGCAUGCCAGGAGAAACCAGCGAUACAAUUGGUAUCAUUUUCCUUUUUUUUUUUUUUUUUUCUGUCUUUUAAUAUUAUACAUAAGUUGGCUGGUAUAUAUGUUUAUUUUAGAUGUGUGCAUGUUAUAUGUAUACAUAUAUUUAUAUAUAUAUAGUUCAUUUAAUUAGGAAUAUAUAGAUGAUUAUGGUUUUAAUGGUGGUAUUACAUGCUCUGUUUACAGCUUGGUGGAAUGCCACAAAAAGAAUAACCUGAAGGAUCAGCAGUUUUAUUAGUAGAAUUCUUGGGUGCAUGAUCUCCGUCUUCGUGUAUCUCCACGGCUGGUGGACAUAUAUAUAUAUAUAUAUAUAUAUUUAUGCGAAAUUAAUCAAGGGUAGUUGAUUAAUUGUCAACGUCAACUUUGAUUUGAAGAUGUGAUUAUGGUUGCUUAAUUAGCUGUUUUCAUUAAAUCCAACUAACCCUGGAAUUAAAGAAUAAUUAAUCUACUUCUCUUGGAAAUUCUUUUUCCUUUCUGGGUAUUUUAUUUUUGGCAAAUCAUUUAAUUUUUGAUGAAUUGUUGGAGUGAAAAGAGAUUCAUGGGGGUGGAUAGGUCUGUGAAACAGAGGACGACAGAAAUAGAGGAUGUUGCAUGUGAUAAGCAAGUUAAUGCCCUGUUUGGCUGCUUAUUGGGUUUUCCUCUUAGAUUAGAAUCUUCAAGUAAUUUAUAUUGAUUCAAUUACAAUUUGAUUAAAUGACUAUGGUGGAGCAAUAAAACAAUUCCCCCCCUCCCCCCAGCUCUGCUCUUCAUCAUUUAUACCAAGAAGAGAAGUGAGAUAGACAACAAUGGCGGAAAAUGAAACUUCUUGUUUUCUUUUAUGUCACUUUUGCCCUGCAUAAUUUAUCCAUCGUCGAACAGGACUAAUAGUUUUGACAUAACUACUUACUCUCCAACAUUAUGUUAUGCGCCUUAAAAUCAUUAAUACCUAACUAAUACAAAUAUUUAUAUAUAAUAUCUUGAGAAAUAAAGAAGUUGAUUUGAUAUACAACCGAUGAUAUGGUAUUGGAGUAAAUUGCAGUCGUAACUAGUAAAUGUGAUAAAUGUUCAACACUUCCUCCUCCCCAAAAACAGCAAAUAAACAAAACAAAUUAACAUGUGAUUGACAAAUAGAUAUGAUUAGAAUAUGUGAUAAACUACAAGGAAGUGAAAUUUGCUUUUCUUAGCUUCGUGAUCAAAAAGGGUUACCUAAUCCCCAACACUGGAACCAAUUCCACUUGCCUAUCCCUUUCUAUAUCCCAUUGUGCAACUUUUGUUUGGUGCUCUACCCACCACCAAAAUUAAAAAUCAACUAAUCUUUAAAUCCUACACCACAUUAUCCUUUAUAUCCUGCAAGAUUUCCAAUAAAUUAACCUAAAAAAUAUUCUCACAUAUACAUACAGACAGCAGCACUAAAGUAAUUCUAAUUAGUACCAAGAGCUAAAAACAAUUGCUACGUUUGCGAAGAUUACAUUACAAUCAUAAAUAAUAGUUAUGCACAUUAAGACUAUUACAAAAGUUACGAGUAAAACAAUUUCAUCGAAUCCAACCGGAAUGUAAAACCCAUAUGCCUUUUUCUUUUCAAUUUUUAAGUAGCUAGUAAGAAUGAUUGUAAGGUGAAGAUGCGAUGAUUACACAUAAAGAAACAGUUAUGUAAACUGAGAAAUAGCUUGCUGUUUAUCUUCUGAAGCAAUGAAGUGAUUACAAUUUCAUGUAAAAGACAAAAAGAAAAAAUGAAAAAACACCUCAACACAUUCUAUUUGAUUAAAGGUUCCAUAUAAUAUUACCUUCUCCUUUGAGAACAAUUUUGGAAGUCAAAACAGGGUAUCAGGAAAUUUGUGGACGCACAGCCCAUCAGACCCUCAUGAUUUGAACUACAUACAUGAUCAAAGAACAGAUUACUUCCCCAGAACACAUGACCUGGCAUGAUGCAUCCCUUGCACCAUCACCGAUGUUAACUGCAGGGCAUAAACAAGAGGUCAUUUUGGAGCCUAACCAAAUGACACAAAUGAUAUGAUCUGCUUAUCAUCGAUCAAUGGCUGGAAAAAAAUCUCUCCACUUGUUUGCACAUCUUACCUCGACUUAUUCCUCAAAAUAAUGACUAUUAUAUUUCUUCAGAGGAACGCUGGAGUAUCAUUCUCACUCAUCCAAGUAGAGAACAGAAAGUCCGCAGGACUCUUGAUGUAAUAAACCAUCACUCCACCAUCCCCACCACCCUGCCGAUUUGAUGUAAUAACUGCCUCACAACGAAAAACUUUGCAUCAGGAUCCUGAAACACCAUCUUCAAGAG
rnacentral:lncRNA from 1 species